AAGUAAAUGACAGAGUGGUUAUGUGACUGGCUUGAAACCAGUUUAUGGAGGUUCAACCCCUUCUUUUCUCG
rnacentral:tRNA from 1 species